GGACGAACGCUGGCGGCGUGCUUAACACAUGCAAGUCGAACGAUGAAGCCCAGCUUGCUGGGCGGAUUAGUGGCGAACGGGUGAGUAAUACGUGAGUAACCUGCCUUUAACUCUGGGAUAAGCCUUGGAAACGGGGUCUAAUACCGGAUACGACCAACCCUCGCAUGAGGUGUUGGUGGAAAGGGAUUUUGUACUGGUUUUAGAUGGGCUCACGGCCUAUCAGCUUGUUGGUGAGGUAACGGCUCACCAAGGCGACGACGGGUAGCCGGCCUGAGAGGGUGACCGGCCACACUGGGACUGAGACACGGCCCAGACUCCUACGGGAGGCAGCAGUGGGGAAUAUUGCACAAUGGGCGCAAGCCUGAUGCAGCGACGCCGCGUGAGGGAUGACGGCCUUCGGGUUGUAAACCUCUUUCAGCAGGGGAGAAGCGAAAGUGACGGUACCUGCAGAAGAAGCGCCGGCUAACUACGUGCCAGCAGCCGCGGUAAUACGUAGGGCGCGAGCGUUGUCCGGAAUUAUUGGGCGUAAAGAGCUUGUAGGCGGUUUGUCGCGUCUGCUGUGAAAGCCCGGGGCUUAACCCCGGGUUUGCAGUGGGUACGGGCAGACUAGAGUGCAGUAGGGGAGACUGGAAUUCCUGGUGUAGCGGUGAAAUGCGCAGAUAUCAGGAGGAACACCAAUGGCGAAGGCA
rnacentral:rRNA from 1 species